ACUUUAUGGUGUGAACAUUGAAUAAAUAGGUUUUGGAACCUCUACCAUGCAUCAAAGAAAAUCUCACCCUCUUUUUAUUAGAAAUUACUGAUGGCAUUAACAAACU